rnacentral:rRNA from 1 species
UACGAAGGGGGCUAGCGUUGUUCGGAAUGACUGGGCGUCAAGGGCGCGUAGGCGGCGAUGUAAGUCAGGCGUGAAAGCCCCGGGCUCAACCUGGGAACGGCGCCUGAUACUGCGUUGCUUGAGGACGGGAGAGGAUGGUGGAAUUCCCAGUGUAGAGGUGAAAUUCGUAGAUAUUGGGAAGAACACCGGUGGCGAAGGCGGCCAUCUGGACCGUUUCUGACGCUGAGGCGCGAAAGCGUGGGGAGCAAACAGG